rnacentral:rRNA from 1 species
AUGGCUGUCGUCAGCUCGUGUUGUGAAAUGUUGGGUUAAGUCCCGCAACGAGCGCAACCCUUAUCCUUGUUUGCCAGCGAGUAAUGUCGGGAACUCCAGGGAGACUGCCGGUGAUAAACCGGAGGAAGGUGGGGACGACGUCAAGUCAUCAUGGCCCUUACGAGUAGGGCUACACACGUGCUACAAUGGCGCAUACAGAGGGCAGCAAGCUAGCGAUAGUGAGCGAAUCCCAAAAAGUGCGUCGUAGUCCGGAUUGGAGUCUGCAACUCGACUCCAUGAAGUCGGAAUCGCUAGUAAUCGUGGAUCAUAAUGCCACGGUGAAUACGUUCCCGGGCCUUGUACACACCGCCCGU